rnacentral:rRNA from 1 species
AGUGGUUGUCGUCAGCUCGUGUCGUGAGAUUGGUUAGGGUUAACGUCCCGACAACGAGCGCAACCCUCGUAACCUUAGUUGCCAGCAUUCAGUUGGGCACUCUAAGGUGACUGCCGGCUAAAAGUCGGAGGAAGUGGGGAUGACGUCAAAUCAUCAUGCCCCUUAUGACCUGGGCUACACACGUGCUACAAUGGGCGGUACAAAGGGUCGCGAACCCGCGAGGGGGAGCCAAUCCCAAAAAGCCGCUCUCAGUUCGGAUUGCAGGCUGCAACUCGCCUGCAUGAAGCCGGAAUCGCUAGUAAUCGCGGAUCAGCAUGCCGCGGUGAAUACGUUCCCGGGCCUU